rnacentral:tRNA from 1 species
CAUUAGAUGACUGAAGGCAAGUAGUGGUCUCUUAAACCAAUAAAUAGUAAACUAGCAAUUACUUCUAAUGA